rnacentral:tRNA from 1 species
UGGGGUGUAGCUCAGUGGUAGAGCACGUGCCUAGCAUGUGUGAGGCCCUGGGUUUGAUCCCAGCACUGAAA